UUCCAUAUUAAUUAUCCCCAACAACAGCCCAAUCUAAUUACCCAAAUUUUCUGCCAUCCCUUAAAUGUCCCAACACAAGAUCCAAUUCCUUUUUUACCUUAGCCUAUUUUCUGUUACUCUUUGACCUGACUCCAACCUUUUUCCCCUUUACAGGAGAAAUUAAGAGAACGUGACAACACGCAGCAAUUCCAAAUUCCCUUUGUCCUCUCGCCUUCAUCUUCUCCACGCACGACAAGGCAGUAAUAGCAAGCGACUACACGACAUCUAAAAUGGUUGGCAAGCAUAUUGGAAACGAUAUUCAAGCAACGUCGGAAUCGCAUGAAGGAGAGCGACCAGAACUACGCGUGGGAAAGCAACAGAAAGCAUCCUUGUGCGGUUUUGGCCUUUUCCUCCCAUGUCGUUUUAAACUCAUACGACUUCAGCAGGCUAGAACGGCACGCGAAUUGUCCUUGAUAGCGUGGGAUCAAGCCACGACGCUUGCCAAGGACAAUAUUUUUUAUCCGUUCGUCCAUGCUCCUUCCCUUUUGGAGAAAGGAUUCAGAUUUUCAAAAGUUUGUUUGUUCAAAAUGGGAUAAGUUUCUUAGGGUUUGAAUUUGGAUUUGGGCCCCCGAAUUCCGACUUUGGUUUCCCCAAUUGCAAAAACCCUAAACCCCUCCUAUAAAUAUUCUUGUUCUUACGGGGUGGGGAAAUUUUUUUCAAAGAGUUUAGAUACAAUUUCGGGAGGAUCUUUUUACAGAGAGUUUUUUUCCUUUUUUAGAGAGAGCAAAAAUUUGAAAAAAGGGAGCUCGGAAAAGUAGGAGGAAUUAUAUAAAAUUUGAAGGAAACAUAACAACUAUUGGCUGUAGACAUUCACAUACACAAACAUUCAGGAACAGAGAAAAACUUUAGGGGAAUUAGUUGGAUUUUAAGCUUUGUUCGAGUCCUUCACUUAGUCCCUCUGCUCGUCUCCUACCCCUGUUCGCUGCCCUGCCAAAGGCCAUUAUGGCCCAAUUCUCUUUCAUCGAGUCUUCCGGCCUUACAAUUGACGCACAAGUUCCCCGAAAUUGGAGAAUAUGAGGCUAAUUGAAGAGUAGGAGUCUUGCGGCCAAAAUCUCAUAAUUUGUUCAUUUUAUAUAGUAUUUUGUUAUCUUUUGGGAUUAAGCUUUUAUUGUCUUUCAUUUAUUGAUUAUUGUAUGAUUAGAUUAGGACAGGUACUAAUUGGAAAUGGGAUAAAAGCCCAAAACGGAAAUGGGAAUACCAAUCCAGGUGGACAGAAACCAAUUUGGACCCAACUCUGUCCCUCUCCCAUUUUUACUCUAUUUGCUUAUGAGUUUAGUUAUUUUGACGUCA